rnacentral:rRNA from 1 species
UACGUAGGGGGCAAGCGUUGUCCGGAUUUAUUGGGCGUAAAGAGCUCGUAGGUGGUUUGGUAAGUCGGAUGUGAAAUCUCCAGGCUCAACCUGGAGGGGUCAUUCGAUACUGCCAUGACUAGAGGCAGGUAGGGGAGAAUGGAAUUCCCGGUGUAGCGGUGAAAUGCGCAGAUAUCGGGAGGAACACCGGUGGCGAAGGCGGGUCUCUGGGCCGUAACUGACGCUGAGGAGCGAAAGCGUGAGGAGCGAACAGG